GCUUUCGGCAAACAAUUGACGCAGUGCCAGGAUCGUUGGAAGAAACUGCGAGAUAACUUCAGAAAAGCCUAUUAUAACCGAAAAGGCAAGAGUGGCGAUGGUGCAACUACGUCCAAAUUGAUAAAAUUUGAAAAA